GACGAACGCUGGCGGCGUGCUUAACACAUGCAAGUCGAACGGUGAACCCCUUCGUUUGGGGUCAGCUCGGGACGCGAGAGUAACACGAAGGCAACCUUCCCCUGGCCCUGGGUUAACUCUAAGUUCAUGGGACUAAUACCGGAUGUUCACCGCUUCCCGCACUGCAUGGGGUGAGAUGGAUUGCCGGCUGGGGAUGGGCUCGCGGCUUAUCAGCUUGUUGGUGGGGUAGUGGCUUACCAAGGCUAUGACGGGUAGCCGGCCUGAGAGGGUGACCGGCCACAUUGGGACUGAGAUACGGCCCAGACUCCUACGGGAGGCAGCAGUGGGGAAUAUUGCACAAUGGGCGGAAGCCUGAUGCAGCAACGCCGCGUGGGGGAUGACGGCCUUCGGGUUGUAAACCGCUUUCGGCUGUGACGAAGCGUGAGUGACGGUAACGGGUAAAGAAGCACCGGCCAACUACGUG
rnacentral:rRNA from 1 species